rnacentral:rRNA from 1 species
UACAGAGGGUGCAAGCGUUAUUCGGAAUUAUUGGGCGUAAAGGGUAGGUAGGUGGUCUUGUUUGUCUGGGGUGAAAUCCUUGGGCUUAACUUAAGAAGUGCCUCAGAAACGGCAAGACUAGAGUCCUGGAGAGGGUCGUGGAAUUCCCGGUGUAGCGGUGAAAUGCGUAGAGAUCGGGAGGAACACCAGAGGCGAAGGCGGCGACCUGGACAGGUACUGACACUCAACUACGAAAGCGUGGGGAGCAAACAGG